rnacentral:rRNA from 1 species
ACUCCUACGGAAGGCAGCAGUGGGGAAUAUUGCGCAAUGGGCGAAAGCCUGACGCAGCAACGCCGCGUGAGGGAUGAAGUACGUCGAGAUGUAAACCUCUUUCAGCAGGGACGAAGCGAAAGUGACGGUACCUGCAGAAGAAGCGCCGGCUAACUACGUGCCAGCAGCCGCGGUAAUG